GUGUGGGGGGGGUUCUUAACAAUGCAAGUCGAACGAUGAUGCCCAGCUUGCUGGGCGGAUUAGUGGCGAACGGGUGAGUAAUACGUGAGUAACCUGCCCUUGACUCUGGGAUAAGCCUGGGAAACUGGGUCUAAUACUGGAUACUACCUCUUACCGCAUGGUGGGUGGUGGAAAGGGUUUUACUGGUUUUGGAUGGGCUCACGGCCUAUCAGCUUGUUGGUGGGGUAAUGGCUCACCAAGGCGACGACGGGUAGCCGGCCUGAGAGGGUGACCGGCCACACUGGGACUGAGACACGGCCCACACUCCUACGGGAGGCAGCAGUGGGGAAUAUUGCACAAUGGGCGGAAGCCUGAUGCAGCGACGCCGCGUGAGGGAUGACGGCCUUCGGGUUGUAAACCUCUUUCAGUAGGGAAGAAGCGAGAGUGACGGUACCUGCCGAAUAUGCGCCGGCUAACUACGUGCCCGCAGCCGCGGUAAUAGGUAGGGCGCAAGCGUUGUCCGGAAUUAUUGGGCGUAAAGA
rnacentral:rRNA from 1 species